CCUACGGGUGGCAGCAGUGAGGAAUAUUGGUCAAUGGCCGGAAGGCUGAACCAGCCAAGCCGCGUGCAGGACGACGGCGCUAAGGAUUGUAAACUUCUUUUGUCAGGGGACAAAGUCAGGCACGAGUGCCUGACUGAGGGUACCUGAAGAAAAAGCAUCGGCUAACUCCGUGCCAGCAGCCGCGGUAAUACGGAGGAUGCGAGCGUUAUCCGGAUUUAUUGGGUUUAAAGGGUGCGUAGGCGGGCUGUUAAGUCAGCGGUAAAAGCCCGGGGCUCAACCCCGGCGAGCCGUUGAAACUGGCUGUCUUGAGAUGUCGAGAGGUAUGCGGAAGG
rnacentral:rRNA from 1 species